CACUCGUGAAAACACGCCAAACUAAAGUCUCGCUGUUGACACAAAUACUCACUCUGGUGUUUGCCUGAGCUCCGGGACUGUUUGGUCAGG